rnacentral:rRNA from 1 species
CUUGGUCAUUUAGAGGAAGUAAAAGUCGUAACAAGGUUUCCGUAGGUGAACCUGCGGAAGGAUCAUUAUCGUGGGGCUUCGGCCCUCUCGAGAUAGAACCCUUGCCUUUUUGAGUACCUUCGUUUCCUCGGCAGGCUCGCCUGCCAAUGGGGACCCCAAUAAACCCUUUGUAAGCCUGUAAUCGUCUGACAAAACAAACAAAAAUUAAAACUUUCAACAACGGAUCUCUUGGUUCUGGCAUCGAUGAAGAACGCAGCGAAAUGCGAUAAGUAGUGUGAAUUGCAGAAUUCAGUGAAUCAUCGAAUCUUUGAACGCACAUUGCGCCCUAUGGUAUUCCGUAGGGCAUGCCUGUUCGAGCGUCAUUCAAACCUUCAAGCUCUGCUUGGUGUUGGGCGUCUGUCCUGCCUCACGGCGCGGACUCGCCUCAAAUCUAUUGGCGGCCGGCACGUUGGCUUCAGCGCAGCAGAAACGCGCUCGAGACCGGCGGAUCGGCUCCCAGAAGCUACCCCCAUGAAUUUGACCUCGGAUCAGGUAGGGAUACCCGCUGAACUUAAGCAUAUCAAUAAGCGGAGGA